rfam:Roseivivax atlanticus strain 22II-s10s contig2, whole genome shotgun sequence.
GGGUCGUUAGCUCAGUUGGUAGAGCGUCUCGUUUACACCGAGAAUGUCGGCGGUUCGAGCCCGUCACGACCCA